rnacentral:rRNA from 1 species
ACGAACGCUGGCGGCGUGCUUAACACAUGCAAGUCGAACGGAAAGGCCCUGCUUUUGUGGGGUGCUCGCGUGGCGAACGGGUGAGUAACACGUGAGUAACCUGCCCUUGACUUUGGGAUAACUUCAGGAAACUGGGGCUAAUACCGGAUAGGAGCUCCUGCUGCAUGGUGGGGGUUGGAAAGUUUCGGCGGUUGGGGAUGGACUCGCGGCUUAUCAGCUUGUUGGUGGGGUAGUGGCUUACCAAGGCUUUGACGGGUAGCCGGCCUGAGAGGGUGACCGGCCACAUUGGGACUGAGAUACGGCCCAGACUCCUACGGGAGGCAGCAGUGGGGAAUAUUGCACAAUGGGCGGAAGCCUGAUGCAGCAACGCCGCGUGCGGGAUGACGGCCUUCGGGUUGUAAACCGCUUUCGCCUGUGACGAAGCGUGAGUGACGGUAAUGGGUAAAGAAGCACCGGCUAACUACGU